UACGUAGGGGGCAAGCGUCAUCCGGAUUUACUGGGUGUAAAGGGAGCGUAGACGGCAGGGCAAGUCUGGAGUGAAAGGCAGGGGCCCAACCCCUGGACUGCUCUGGAAACUGUCCGGCUGGAGUGCAGGAGAGGUAAGUGGAAUUCCUAGUGUAGCGGUGAAAUGCGUAGAUAUUAGGAGGAACACCAGUGGCGAAGGCGGCUUACUGGACUGUAACUGACGUUGAGGCUCGAAAGCGUGGGGAGCAAACAGG
rnacentral:rRNA from 1 species